rnacentral:lncRNA from 1 species
GAGGAGGAGCACUGUGGCCUCCCUCAGAGACACCAGAAAGGGACAUGUUCAAGCAAGAUCUACUGAUCCUGAAUAAACACACUUGGGACCUGCCACAGAUGCCUAGACUGUCACCAGAGAGCACGCAAACCUUGAGGAAAGACCAGAGCUGCCUGCCCUGCUGUUUCCAGAGCCCUGAGCCAGGUGUGUCCAGGUCACCACAGCACAAUGGACAACACCCCCAUCAUCUGUGACUAUGGCUCUGGCUUCAGUAAGGUGGGCUUUGCAGGAACUCGAGUCCCUCUGGCUGUCUUCCCCACCAUCCUUGGGAAAAUGAAAAAUGCCACCCUGCUAGAGAGGUUGGAAGAAGAAGACUGGUUUAUUGGAGCUGAGGUCCAGAAUAAUCGACCAAAGCUGAACAUACACUACCCCAUCUUCCGGGGAGCUAUCACCAAUUGGGACAAUGUACAGAAGGUGAGCUAU